rnacentral:rRNA from 1 species
GCACAAGCGGUGGAGCAUGUGGUUUAAUUCGAUGAUACGCGAGGAACCUUACCUGGGCUCAAAUGUAUGUUGACGUAUUCUGAAAGGGAUACUUCUUCGGACAAUAUACAAGGUGCUGCAUGGUUGUCGUCAGCUCGUGCCGUGAGGUGUCGGGUUAAGUCCCAUAACGAGCGCAACCCCUAUCAUUAGUUGCCAUCAGGUUAAGCUGGGGACUCUAAAGGAACUGCCUACGCAAGUAGUGAGGAAGGCGGGGAUGACGUCAAAUCAGCACGGCCCUUACGUCCAGGGCUACACACGUGCUACAAUGGCCGAUACAGAGGGCAGCUACCUGGUGACAGGAUGCAAAUCUCCAAAGUCGGUCUCAGUUCGGAUCGGAGUCUGCAACCCGACUCCGUGAAGUUGGAUUCGCUAGUAAUCGCGCAUCAGCCAUGGCGCGGUGAAUACGUUCCCGGGCCUU